AAUCUUCCGCAAUGGACGCAAGUCUGACGGAGCAACGCCGCGUGAGUGAGGAAGGUCUNCGGAUCNUNAAACUCUGUUGUUAGAGNCGAACACGUACCGUUUGAAUAAGGCGGUACCUUGACGGUAUCUAACGAGAAAGCCCCGGCUAACUACGUGCCAGCAGCCGCGGUAAUACGUAGGGGGCAAGCGUUGUCCGGAAUUAUUGGGCGUAAAGCGCGCGCAGGCGGUCUCUUAAGUCUGAUGUGAAAGCCCACGGCUCAACCGUGGAGGGUCAUUGGAAACUGGGAGACUUGAGUGUAGGAGAGGAAAGUGGAAUUCCACGUGUAGCGGUGAAAUGCGUAGAUAUUAGGAGGAACACCAGUGGCGAAGGCGGCCUGCUGGACAUUAACUGACGCUGAGGCGCGAAAGCGUGGGGAGCAAACAGG
rnacentral:rRNA from 1 species